GAUAUUAUUUAUAUUGUAUUCUCUUCAGUGUGCGCUAAUCGCCAAGGAUAAUAUUAUAUUUGUAUUUUAUAUUUUUAUUGCCAUAGUCGUGUGCGCUAAUCGCCGCGGCCCGUGAGAAACAUAUGUGUAUUUGUAUGUGUUAAUUUUUUAUAUUGUGCCAUAAUAUUAUUAUUAAGGUACAGGUUGCUGCAGCUGGCCAGUUUUGCACCUACUAAAAAUCCUGGCAAAGGUUCUAGAUCACUAUUGAUGGUCGGGCUGAUAGUACUUUCACAGGCAGUUGAUAUUUGAUCGAAUUCCACGGUCUGUUUAUUUAUUAAUAUAACAAUGUUUUAUUUAAAAAAUAUAGUUUAUAGAAACUUUAAUUUAUAAUUUAACAAACUUCAAUAUCGGGCUAUAUCAUAGGAUUAAUGUUUUUAAUGUUCACCGGAAGUGCAUCUUUUUUUAGUUGCGAUUUUUUUCAAACAUAUCUAAGGAAACAGUAUUAUUUAAAAAUUAUAUUAAACAGUAUUAUUAUUUUAACUCAAUUGUAAAUAUACCGCAGUGCUAUUUUUUAUAUAUUGAAUUUUUUUUAUUUAAUGUUCCUUCUACUUAAGUUGAACAACUUUACACAAUUGUGUUAAUAAUAUUUUAAUGUAAAUGAAAAAUAAUAAAAACAUUUGAUACCGUGUACUUAUUUACUCCUUCGCCGCUUGACCACGUACUAACAAUAUCGGAUUGAUUAAUAUGUGUAGCACAAACACGAUCACUUUUUUUCAAUUGCAUACCUAAUGAUGCUUCCCAUAACAUUUUUUUAAAUUCAUCUUUAGGUACACUACAAUAUGGUUUUAAAAUAUUAUGAGGUUCACGCACACAACAAUUUUUUGGCAUUUUAUUAAAUAUAUAAAAUAACUAAACAUUAUAUUAUAAAUGCAGAAUAUAAGUAUUCAAUACACAGAAUAUCAGUGAAUACCUAUGCAACACAGUAGACAGUAAUUAUGUAAUGAAUAAUGAAAUUAAUUAUUAAAUGAAUGAUAUUGAUACACAUUUUCUAAAUAUAACUUAGAUUUACAAACAUUUUUAUAAUUUAUAUAAUAGCGGGUUUAUGAUAUACCAGGUCAUAGAGAGCGCUAAUAUCACGCGAUUUUUUUUAAAUUCUUGAUAAGAACAUUCAGAGCCGUCAUAUCAUUCCGUGCUCGUUGUGCAACCCUAGUAUCUAUAUCCGUAAUAUGUUCUAAGAAUAGUAAUAAUCCGUUAUCACCAAUUUUGUGGUUGGCAAAACAUUGAAUAAGACAUGAAAAUCAUGAGGGAAGGGAGUGUCCAGUUACACUACUUCCAAUUUAAACUUAGGGGGAAGGUUAGUUAAUCACUCGGCCAUUUGCGUUUGAGGCGACGAUAAGGGGUUAUCAGGAAUUGUACAAGAAGAAAGUUU